AUUGAACGCUGGCGGCAUGCUUUACACAUGCAAGUCGAACAGUAACAGGCCUUCGGGCGCUGACGAGUGGCGAACGGGUGAGUAAUGCAUCGGAACGUGCCCAGAGGUGGGGGAUAACGCAGCGAAAGCUGUGCUAAUACCGCAUAUUAUCUGAGGAUGAAAGCGGGGGACUAAGCAGCAAUGUUUGGCCUCGCGCCUUUGGAGCGGCCGAUGUCAGAUUAGGUAGUUGGUGGGGUAAAGGCCUACCAAGCCGACGAUCUGUAGCUGGUCUGAGAGGACGACCAGCCACACUGGGACUGAGACACGGCCCAGACUCCUACGGGAGGCAGCAGUGGGGAAUUCUGGACAAUGGGCGCAAGCCUGAUCCAGCAAUGCCGCGUGCAGGAAGAAGGCCUUCGGGUUGUAAACUGCUUUUGUACGGAACGAAAAGGCUCUGGUUAAUACCUGGGGCUCAUGACGGUACCGUAAGAAUAAGCACCGGCU
rnacentral:rRNA from 1 species